ACAAGCCUUGAGGUUGAUCCAAUGGAAAGCACUGUAUGUAAGCAUAUGUGUGUGCAAAAUAUACCCCAAUCAUCUGCCUUCAUGGAUUCAGACCCCAUAAAUUCUGAUCCCUGUCUCCUCAUCUUUUCUUCCUCAAAAACUGCAGCAUGACUGACUACCGAUCAGCAUAUAUCAGCUCUGUCUCCAACAUAACUCACUCCGAUUCAGACAUGAUAGUUUCUGUUGCACAAAAAAGCAAAGAAUAAACACAGAUUUUAACAGGGGAUACAACCAGCUGGGUUCAAAGUUAUCUAUCUGAACCACCAAACAAAAUGGAGAAAUCAGCCAGGAUGAUAAAUUGGUCUUUUACAUUAUGCACUUUUGUUUCCGGUACAUUAUAUGAAGGUAAUGACAUAUCGAAUACAAACCAAACGAGUAGGCUGGAGACAAAUAUAAGGCCACAUUACUCAUUCUGAUCAGCUGUUAAUCAACUGACGCCUAAG